rnacentral:rRNA from 1 species
UAGGGAAUCUUCCGCAAUGGGCGAAAGCCUGACGGAGCAACGCCGCGUGAGUGAUGAAGGUCUUCGGAUCGUAAAACUCUGUUAUUAGGGAAGAACAAAUGUGUAAGUAACUAUGCACGUCUUGACGGUACCUAAUCAGAAAGCCACGGCUAACUACGUGCCAGCAGCCGCGGUAAUACGUAGGUGGCAAGCGUUAUCCGGAAUUAUUGGGCGUAAAGCGCGCGUAGGCGGUUUUUUAAGUCUGAUGUGAAAGCCCGCGGCUCAACCGUGGGGGGUCAUUGGAAACUGGAAAACUUGAGUGCAGAAGAGGAAAGUGGAAUUCCAUGUGUAGCGGUGAAAUGCGCAGAGAUAUGGAGGAACACCAGUGGCGAAAGCGACUUUCUGGUCUGUAACUGACGCUGAUGUGCGAAAGCGUGGGGAUCAAACAGG